rnacentral:rRNA from 1 species
AGAGUUUGAUCCUGGCUCAGGAUGAACGCUAGCGGCGUGCCUAACGCAUGCAAGUCGAACGAGAAACCUUGGACUCGUCUGAGGUGGAAAGUGGCGCACGGGUGAGUAACACGUAGGUGACCUGCCCCAGAGAGGGGGAUAACUAUUGGAAACGGUAGCUAAUACCCCAUAAGCUCACGGUUUUUAGAAAGCUGUGAGAAAAGCUCCGGCGCUCUGGGAGGGGCCUGCGGCCCAUCAGCUAGUUGGUAGGGUAACGGCCUACCAAGGCAAUGACGGGUAGGGGACCUGAGAGGGUGACCCCCCACACUGGCACUGAGACACGGGCCAGACUCCUGCGGGAGGCAGCAGCGAGGAAUAUUGCCCAAUGGGCGAAAGCCUGAGGCAGCAACGCCGCGUGGGUGACGAAGGCCUUCGGGUCGUAAAACCCUUUUCUGGGGGAAUAGGAAGGAAGGUACCCCAGGAAUAAGAGUCGGCUAACUACGUGCCAGCAGCCGCGGUAAAACGUAGGACUCGAGCUUAUCCGGAUUUACUGGGCGUAAAGCGCGUGUAGGCGGCUUGGUUAGUUGGAUGUUAAAGCUCCUGGCUUAACUAGGAGAGGCCAUUCAAUACUGCCAGGCUAGAGGACGGUAGAGGAGAGUAGAAUUCCAGGUGUAGUGGUGAAAUGCGUAGAUAUCUGGAAGAAUACCAGUGGCGAAGGCGGCUCUCUGGGCCGUUCCUGACGCUAAGACGCGAAAGCAUGGGUAGCGAACGGGAUUAGAAACCCCGGUAGUCCAUGCCGUAAACGAUGAAUACUGGGUGUUGGGGGUAUCAAUUCCCUCGGCGCCGAAGCUAACGCGUUAAGUAUUCCGCCUGGGGAUUACGAUCGCAAGGUUAAAACUCAAAGGAAUUGACGGGUCCCCGCACAAGCAGCGGAGCGUGUGGUUUAAUUCGAGCCUACACGAAGAACCUUACCUGGGCUUGACAUGACGGUAGUAGGGAUCCGAAAGGUGACCGACCCUUCGGGGAGCCGCCACAGGUGCUGCAUGGCUGUCGUCAGCUCGUGUCGUGAGAUGUUCGGUUAAGUCCGUUAACGAGCGCAACCCUCGCCGUUAGUUACAAGUGUCUAGCGGGACUGCCGUUAAAAAAGCGGAGGAAGGUGGGGAUGAUGUCAAGUCAGCAUGGCCUUUAUGUCCAGGGCUACACACACGCUACAAUGGCCGGUACAAUGGGUUGCCAAACCGCGAGGUGGAGCCAAUCCUCCAAAGCCGGUCUCAGUUCGGAUUGCAGGCUGCAACUCGCCUGCAUGAAGGUGGAGUUGCUAGUAACCGCAGGUCAGCUAUACUGCGGUGAAUACGUUCCCGGGGAUUGUACACACCGCCCGUCACGUCAUGGGAGCUGGUCACGCCUGAAGUCGAUGAGCUAACCUAACGGGGGCAAUCGCCUAAGGCAGGGCUGGUGACUGGGACGAAGUCGUAACAAGGUA